CUCAGCAUAUAUAAACCAUCAAUUACAUCCUGCAAGUUAAACAAAGAUUAAAAAUCAGCAAAUGCUAACAAUACACAGUGAUCACAGAAGGCAAUCUAAACCAUCACAAGUAGAAGAUACCUACGAGUCCUAUAGAUGCAAUAAACGUCAACUCAGACUACCUAAUAGUCCUAUAAAGAUGCAAUAAAUGUGAGGAUAAGGUUCACCAUCUGAGUAUCAUAAACAGGGCCUUCCAUUUGGAAGUGGCCAGCUCCUUCAAUUAGAUGUGUUUCAAUGCGCCCUGAAGCAGAUCUUAGCUUGUUCUGCAGCUGCUUAACACUGGUAAACCCAUCCCG
rnacentral:misc_RNA from 1 species